UGAAAAUGUGGAUGAUCAGGACCAAGUUAUUCUCCCGUAAGGCCACAGUCUGCUGGAGGGAAUGACAUCUCCAGCCAGCUCUUCUCCAGAGAACCCUGUUUCCUCUCUCCUGCUUACUCUUCAAGACUUCCCUUUGAUGUCACCUGGUCUGUGAGACAGCCUUUCCUGGGACCCCCCCACGGAGAGAGAACCCACUCAUAAGACUCCAAAAUGCCAAGGCGCCCAGCUUCUCAUGCCCACCUCUGAGCUGUGAGGCAGAGGCCUGUUUAUUUUGGGUUGAUGAGUAAAUCAUGUGGAACAGAAUCAAAAGCUCUGCUGAAGUCAACACAGAUGACAUCUGUCACUUCCUCUUAAUCCAUCAGUCAGGGGGAGAGGGCAUUGGAUUAAUUAGACAGGCUCUUUCAAACGUUUGCCAGCAAUGACUCCAUGCCCUCUUUCUCUCAUGCACUGGUGAAGGAAAACAAUGAAUUUUCACCCUAUUGUUUAUCUUAGAAGGGUCAGGUUUUGAGGUCAAACAUCAGUGUAAAAUUUUGUCUUAAAAAAUGCACAUGCAUUCUAACUGCUAAUAGCUCAUAUGCCCAUCUUUGAAAUCAAAGUUCUUGUUUCUUUACGAAUGUGCCCACUGCAAGGAUAUCAAAGCAUUGGCAGACAUUAAGUCAGUGGCUUUGCCUAAGCCAGGCUUUCUCUCAUUGAAAAGGGAGGGAUCUAUUUGGGGAGAGAGUCUCUGGGGGCCGUGAUUUAUCCAGUUUGAUUACAUGGAACACUGGUCUCUGUUUAUUUGCUGCAACAUGGCAUCUGCCUUGGGAGGAGAUGCUCCACAGUCGACUAGAGCCUCUGCCAGCUGUGGCCACUUGUCUUCAGGCUGCACCUGUGUGAGUCC
rnacentral:lncRNA from 1 species